rnacentral:rRNA from 1 species
AGAGUUCGAUCCUGGCUCAGGAUGAACGCUGGCGGCGCGCCUAACACAUGCAAGUCGAACGGCACCCACCUUCGGGUGGAAGCGAGUGGCGAACGGCUGAGUAACACGUGGAGAACCUGCCCCCUCCCCCGGGAUAGCCGCCCGAAAGGACGGGUAAUACCGGAUACCCCGGGGUGCCGCAUGGCACCCCGGCUAAAGCCCCGACGGGAGGGGAUGGCUCCGCGGCCCAUCAGGUAGACGGCGGGGUGACGGCCCACCGUGCCGACAACGGGUAGCCGGGUUGAGAGACCGACCGGCCAGAUUGGGACUGAGACACGGCCCAGACUCCUACGGGAGGCAGCAGUGGGGAAUCUUGCGCAAUGGGGGGAACCCUGACGCAGCGACGCCGCGUGCGGGACGGAGGCCUUCGGGUCGUAAACCGCUUUCAGCAGGGAAGAGUCAAGACUGUACCUGCAGAAGAAGCCCCGGCUAACUACGUGCCAGCAGCCGCGGUAAUACGUAGGGGGCGAGCGUUAUCCGGAUUCAUUGGGCGUAAAGCGCGCGUAGGCGGCCCGGCAGGCCGGGGGUCGAAGCGGGGGGCUCAACCCCCCGAAGCCCCCGGAACCUCCGCGGCUUGGGUCCGGUAGGGGAGGGUGGAACACCCGGUGUAGCGGUGGAAUGCGCAGAUAUCGGGUGGAACACCGGUGGCGAAGGCGGCCCUCUGGGCCGAGACCGACGCUGAGGCGCGAAAGCUGGGGGAGCGAACAGGAUUAGAUACCCUGGUAGUCCCAGCCGUAAACGAUGGACGCUAGGUGUGGGGGGACGAUCCCCCCGUGCCGCAGCCAACGCAUUAAGCGUCCCGCCUGGGGAGUACGGCCGCAAGGCUAAAAC